GUGUGGUUUUCUGGCCCCGAGCUGCCAGCCUCGCCCCAGCUCUCCUCCGCACAAGAGGCGAGUUUAGGCACAGGAACACGGUUUCCGGUUUCAGCGGCUGGAUUUUACCCUCAUUCAGCUGAGGCCAGUCGCGCAGCGGGAGCAGCCCGGGUCACUCCCCGUGCUCCGUCACCUCGUCCCCAUUUCUCAGAAUUGAGUUUUGGGGACUAUUGAAUGCUUCAUGGGCAAAAUUACCCGGGGUCAUGGGAUGAAAUGUGCUUCCCCGCCUCGCACAGAUUCAGAUGUUGACGUCCCAACCCCCAGGACCUCAGAAUGGGGCUGUGUUUGGAGAUGAAGGUAAAAUGAGGUCACUAGGUGGGUCUUGAUCCCACAGGAAUGGGGUCCUUCUAAGAAGAGGAGAUGAGGACCCAGACGCACACAGAGGGACGGCCACGGGAGGACACAGGGAGGACACGGCCGUCUACACACCAAGGAGACACCAGCCCUGCUCACGCCUGGUCUCAGAUGCCAGCCUCCGGGACCGAGAGGGACAAAUGUCUGUUGUUUAAGCCCAGCAGUCCGUGACACUCUGUUGUAAUGACCCUAUCGGACAAUGACACCCGUGAGUCAGAGCAGUUUUUAUCACAGAGGAAUCCAUAGAGAUAACUUUCAACAUCCGAAAAAUCAGGGAACGUGUACUUCUAAGCAGGUCUGUUCAUGGAAGGGAAUUUUCAAACUUUUCAUAAAUAGUCAACGAAAUGGGAGCAUUGUGCCUAAAUUGCAAGGAUUAUAAGCAGUCGUCCAAAUUUUAUAACACACUCUGGUCUUCAUUGUAUAACAAGAUGACAUUGCCCAAAAGGGAGGAAGAUGUCCCCAAAAGGUGACAUCUGGAUUAGGAUAUUCUUUCCUAUUUUUUUUUCCCAAUGUUCCACAGACGUUCUUGUAAUGAGGACACAGACUUCAGAGCACGCCCUAAAAGAUUUUGCAGGAGACACGGAUUGAGAGAUUUGGAAACCUGGUGGGGUUUUUUUGUUUUGCUUUUUUUGUUUGUUUGUUUUUAUAAAGUGAUGGAUUAGGUUAGAAUUAUCGUAGACCUUGCUGAGGUCUGAGUUUAUCUUAACUCCCUGGAGGGAAGUAAGAAAACACUUGGUAAUUCUUACCUGAGAAAUACAGAUUGUUGCAGUCACCAGUCCUUAUCGGUCCAAGGAGGAAGUUUGAAAACAGAAAGAAGAUGUGACGAAAUAAGAAACACAAGCCCCGACCUUGGAGGAUGGCGGCUGCGGCGGUAAUUUCUCCUUCACGGGUGACGAAGGCACCCUUGUCCCCCCCUCCGAGGCGUGUGUGGGGAUCUGGCAAAGCGAAGCCACCGUGGAUCUGGAAGAACCCAUGUGGAGACGAGACUCAGAAAAUCUGAAAUUCUCGUGACGAGGUGGCCACUAGCUUGUCUCAUGAUAAAGCCAGGGUUUUUUGUUUGUUUGUUUUUUAAAGUUGUUUGGUGCUGGCGAGGGAAGCAAGAGAUUGAAACAAUAUGACAAGAAGCGUCUGUCUGUGUGGGGGUGACUGGGACACUGCACUGUACACCGGGAACAGACACAUUGUAACUGGCUGUACUUCAAUAAAAAGACUAAACACGUAUCUAUAAAAUAGAUAAACAAGGUCCUAAUACGUAGCACGGAAAACUAUAUCCAAUAUCCUGUAACAACCUCUAACAAUGCAGCACCCCACGGAGCCUGGUUUGGGGGCCACAGGCACUGCCCCACCCUACAAGGGGUGCAGACUUUACAGCGGAUCAUCGGCAAGGCACUGUGGAAAUCCUCCCGCUUUCCAGCUCCCGCUGCAGUGGCUUUGGGACUGGUACCCAGGUGCGUGGAGGUGUUGGGGGAAAACGGUCCAUUCCAGCAGACUUUGAAAUUGCAAGUCUGUCCGCCAAGGGGGUGCUGAUGGAGUCCCCCCCCACCUCCCGCCGAGUGCCAGGCACCCGACAUAGGGGUAUUUGGAUAAAGCAGAGAAAACCCUGGGACCCAUGGACUCAGAUUGCAUGGAGGGGGGUGGACAACCCGCACUCAGAAUUGUUAAGAGGAUGUAAAGUACUGGGCACUAAACGAGGAAUAACAACGUGGGAGGACCAGAGGCGGGAGAGCGUACCACAGCGUGUGGUCAUUACCCAUGUUCAUAAUUACAUAGUCCCAUGUCUGUAAGUAUAUAUUAGCAGUUUAUGUUACAGAAUAUAUGCAUGUGUUUAUCUCUAUGAUUAUAUAGGUCUAUACACAUAUCUGUAUGUACAUAUAUUAGGUCCCCCAGGAGGGGUGGAAUUUAAGUAGACGCAGGGAAGG